CCAUCACUCUCCAGUACACUGCGUGGGGAAUCUUAGAAAGCAUACCUUAAUAAUAAUACAAGUCUGAUUUUAUGUCCUUGAGCUUUUACUAUUGUUCUGAACUGUGGAUUUUUUUUUGUAUCAAGGGAUAAAGAAAUGCUAAAAAAUAAUUAAUAAAUAACUAAGGUAAUAUCAUCCCAGUAUCUAAGGGUUUUCAAAAGGGCAGAGCUACAAUAGUGUGUGGCUUAUGGCAGAUUUCCUUGCUGCCUCAUGGUGUAUUUCAUAUCAUCUCACUUUUUGUGUCCUUUACCCCCCUCCCCUUCCAGGUGCUUGUAGCCCUGCUCCUUCCUUGGACUCAGAUUUCUCUGCCUGCAAUUCAGACACCACACCCUCAGAGCUAAAGAGAGAAGAAUUUGGUACUGCCAACCUCACUCCCCGUCCUGAUUUCUGUGCCUGCAGUGCAGAUGCUGUGCCUCAGCCGCCCGUGGCAAUAUCUCCUGGUGCCUGUAGCCCCACGCCUUGUCCUGUUCCUGGUUUCUCUGCCUGCAACACAGACACUGUGCCCCAGAAGCCAGUGGCAAAAUGUUCUGUAGGUCUGGCUGACGUCUUGGCGGCCCUCUCCAACCUCCUAACUAACUACACAUCGGGCUUGAGGAUUACAAAGCUGCAGGAAUUCCUGCUGGCCAGGGAUGGCGUUGAUCUGGAGAAAUUCAGCAUUGGCCAAGGUUACAAGGACACGCUGGAGUUCUUGGAGACCCAGAUGCCGGAACUAAACAUCCAUUACCAGGAGGACCGGCUCAAAUGUGUUGUACAACUAUCUGCAGAUGUUUCUACCUCUUCUGCCUCUUCUGAUAUUCCGAACUCUGUGGAAGAACCACCAAGCCAGGCACCAGAUGGUCUGUCUAACAUCUUGACGGCAGUCACUAACCUCCUGGCCAAAUACAAGUCUGGCUUAAAGAUUAAGAAGGUUCAAGAAUUCCUGGUGGCUGGAGAUGGAAUUGAUCUGGAGAAAUUCAGCAUUAGCCAAGGUUACACGGACACACUGGAGUUUUUGGAGGCCCAGAUGCAGGAGCUAAUCAUCCAGUACCAGGAGGACCGGCUCAGUUGUGUUGUACAGCUUCCUGCAGCUCCCCCACCUUCCUGCAGUUCCCCUUCAUCCCCGUUGAGUGUUCCUCUGUCCUUCGAUUUGAAGCAGCCGACAAACAGAUCAAAACCCUUGCCCCUUCCCCAAAAUGUGGAAGAAAAGAAGAAAGUAGUGUUGGCAGAAGGUGUCACGUUAGUCAACAACCUCCUUGCCAUGUAUACGUCGGGUCUGAGAGUUAAGGAAAUGCAAGAGUUCCUCCUGGCUGUGGAAGGAUUUGAUCUAGAGAAAUUCAGCAUCGCCCAAGGUUACAAAGAUUCACUGCAGUUUUUGGUGUGUCAAGUGCCUAAACUAGCCUUCAUAAACCAGGAGGAUAGACUCAGCUGUGUCGUUAAACGGAUAUCAGGUCCAGGUGUUGACUCUGCCCCUCCACUUUUGCAGCCGGCGCAAGUGACUGGUCCGAUAAACUCAGUACUAGGCUUUGGAGACAAUGCCAAGCCUUUGUAUACCGCUUGUGAUGCUUCUGCAAGUAAAUCUCAGGAUCAGAGCUUGCCAGUUCCAGCUGCUUCUGUGUCUCCAGCAGUUGAGAACGGGCGCCACACAAGCAAGCCUGUUCCAUCGCCUCCGAUUUUUGCAUCCUCUGGGAAACCUUGCAGUACGUUGCAUUCCGAGAUCGGUAGUUCUCCCCAUCUUCUCUGCCCUAACUUAGCCCAGCCGCCGAGGCCAUGCCAGUUGACUGAGCCUUCAUCAUCUAACAAAGUCUCCUGCCAAUUGGAUGCCAAGCAACUAAGGAAAUCCAUCUUGGUAAAGGACCAGCCCUCCAAGGACCUAGAAGAGGUGAAGCGGCGGGUGGCCCACAUCCUGGCCACACAUCCCGAGGGCCUGUCAUUAUUCCAGUUCCGCGUGGCAUACAGUGCCAUGUAUCAACAGCACCUGCCACUGGGCAACGCCUCUUCGGCCAAACAGUGUUUGCUGGAGAUGCCAGAUGUCGUCCGGCUGAAAGGCUGCGGAGUCCAAACGUUGCUUCUGCCCGUAUCAUCUCCAGCAUUCCCUGCAGCGCCUGGUCAGCCUGUCUCUUCCACAGUGGAAGAAACUUCUACGGUUCCUGGUCAUGUGUUGCCGCCAACCAGAACAGGGGCAGAACCUGCAGGGCCACGCAAGCCUGUUCCUCUUUCUAAGGUGCCAGAGGUGCCUCAGCAGUGCCCCAUUUCCUUCCUGGCGCCAGACCACUACAGAGAGCCAGGUGAUAAGGAAUCCUCCCUCCUCCCAGGAGUUCAGCCACUAACGGCACCGAAAACCACAAAUCCUUGGGAAGAGCGUCAGAGGGCCAGAGUCAAUGCGGAAGAUACUUCAGGUCAGCCUGAUUUGUCCAGAAAGGAGAAAGCAACGGUGGAUCCUGCUAUCGCUCUACCUAAAGCUAGCAUUGUGGGGCCACCCAAGUCAUGCCUUAAGCCUCCGGCCCAACACCCUGCAGCGAUGCCUAAGCCUCAACCCCGUCUCUCUCUCCUCCAAUCUUCUGAGCACCGUGUACGGAACAAUAACAAGGAAUGCUCAUUGUAUUCUCAGUCCCUUCUGCAGAAAGCACCCAUACCUAACCCCAAUCCAGUAUGUGCUCCCUUUCCCCAGCCCCCUGUGGUUUUCCCUACAGUCCCCCAAGCCACAAGGUGGGAUAAGAAUUUUAGACCUAGCGGCCUUGUUCCAAAACCCACACAUUUCACUAACCCUUGGAGUUUGGCUAAUGGUGCUCCUGUAGCUUUUGUCCCCCAGCCGGUUUCUGACCGUUUUCAAGCAUGGGCACAGCCGAUCGUGUGCCCACCGGUCACGUUCCUUUCUGAAAUUCCGGACCUUACCAGGAGCCCAGCGUCAUUCUUCUCAACUCCAGUAAAUCCUUCUCAAAUCCAGUUUCCAAAGACUGCACUGCAGAGCCACCUUCAGGCCCACACGGUCACCCCCAAGAAACCAGCUCAGGUUCCAUUUCCCAUCCACAGUGCAGAACAGUGGACCUAUACUCAGGGUGUUCCACAAUCAACUACCAUUUCUCAGGUGCAAAAACCAGCCGGGACCCUGCCCCCUAUUGCCGAUGUCUCCCCUGCAGGGUGGCCUCCGCUCCCUUCUUCUAGAAAAGCAGCCAGUUCCAUCUCACCCAAAUCUCAGGCUGUCCAUCAACCUCCAUGUUCUAACCACUCCUUGCAGGAUGAUUUGCAAGGUCUUUCUCUUACUGGGGCAGAGGAGAAACUUCCAGACACAACUUUGGAAGGAACAACUUCUAAGCCCUCACCAUCCAUGUAUCCAGGACAAUAUAGUGAUGCAGACCCUCUUCUAACCCCGUCAAGUACACCAUCAUUCAGUUCCCAUUCUCCUUCUCUCAUCAAUGCAUCCCAACAGCCCUCAUAUGCUUCCUCAAGUAUAAAAAAGAAUACUAAUUCACCCUCGGAGGCUCCAGCCUUCACAAAUCAGCAACAGUCCUCUAGUAGAAGCAGUGCCUUGGCUACCUCAGACACAGGACUGGCAAGUUCACCAUCGUCCCUUUCAGACCCCAUCACCAGCCCCUGCAACCAUCUCUUGCAUCCUUCAUCUAGUAUCACCAGUAAUUCUGAUGUUCUGUUCUCUGACCGUCAGUCAUUUAUCCAUUGUCAACCACACACCAGUGUGAAUGUUGCCAUAACUAUGCCAAGCACCCGCCCACAGACCUCACCGCCUUACUCGGUAGAGUCCACGACCAGCUCGUGCCACAAAGCUUCCGGUACUUUUUGGAUGGGUGGUAUUGAUGAUGAUGCUUCUGACCAAAGGAAUGCCAUGCCCACAGUUGUCAAACAAACUGGCUCCCCUUCUGUUUCUUUGCCGAGAAAACAGACACCUCACAAUUCCUCACCUCCACCCAAACAUUCUGAUAGAUGUGUUAUCCUAUAAGGGCAACCAUAAGGAGAAGAUGCUCUAGGAAGGCUUUUUCCAUCUGGAGAGGUGGGAUGAUAUAUCAGAUGCAUUGCGAGAAUGCGUUCUGAAUUGGGAAGCAGCACCCUCAUGUCUGUCCAAUCCUGCUUAGUAUCAGGAACAGGAUGUUUUGAUUUGUGCCUGGUCAUUGCAGUCCACUUAGGGGGAACUGCAAAAUUGCACCCCAGGAAACCCAGAACAGUGUGUGGGUUAGGGUGAUGUGUUGUUGCUCGGCACAUGUGGGUUCUAGUCCCCACUAAACCAUGAAAUGUACAGGGGACUCAAACUUACAAUUCUUGGUGUCUGACCUGACUGUUACAAGGGUAAAGUGGGCAUUCAGUGUAUCAUGGAUGUUGCCAAAGUAGAAGGUCUUCAUACAAACUAUAUAUAAACGUAUAUAUGUGUAUAUGCUUUCUGUACCUUGUACAGAAGACAUAGCAGAGGGGAUCAACUCAAAUGUUGGUCAGCGCCAAAUGAACGUCUACACAAAUCACGGUCAGUAGAUCCCGUUACCAUGCAUUGAUUAAUGAAUGCAUCACAAGAAUACCAUCACAAAUAUUCCCUGUUUUGGAUUGUUGAGAAAGGCUGAGGAAAUAUUUGCCUUAUGUUUGUUGAAUUUAUGUUAAUUUUCAUAAGAAAAUAUUUUGGAAUACUGUAUAUUUUAAUGUAUGUAUAUGCUUGUCAAGUCGAUUUUGACUAAUGGUGACCCUUUCUGGCAUUCUCUAGGUAGAGCAUACAUAGAAGUGAUUUAGUAUUCUGUUCUUCUGGCUGCGCUCUAGGAUUGUGCAGCUUAUGACUCCUUGAACGGGUCACAGUGAGGAAUCGAACUUCCAACUCUCUGGCUCUGCAGCCAGAUACUUAAACCACUGAGCUAUCCAGUCAGCCAGCUGAACAUGUACUGUAGUAAUUUACAAUAUUUUUAAAAAUCGGAUCUUUAUUAAAGUGAUGACACACUGUUUAAUUCCAUUUCUGCAUUGGAAGGUGUAUCAACGCUUCCUGCUUUGGAUAGCCAAGUACAAGAGUUAAUGGAUCUGUAUGUCCAAGAAAUUUAAGCAAAGGCUGAAUUUUGCAGAGGAAAUAAUGAAAAUAGCUCUGCAACCUAGGAAUCUGGCUGGAGAGCCAGGGUUUGGGAGUUAUUGUGUAAGAACCAACCUAUGCAGCCUUGGUUAAACCACACAUUCCCAGAGUGAUUCUAGAAGAAGGAAACGCUAAACCACUUCUGAGUACUUCUAUACCUAAGAAACACUGGAAAUAGUCGCCAUAAGUUGGAAUCAACUUGCAGCACAUAAUAAUUAAUAUAUUAGUGGCUUCUUGACACAAAAGCCAUAAAAGAUAUUCUGGUUUAGUUUGUUCUGAUAUUUGUGCCUGUGCCACCAAAAAUAAGGAUAUGCCUGCCUAAGCACGCAUAGCUGGGAACAUUGGAUAUCAUUCAAGGGAUAACCUUGCCUCAGGCUUCCAGUGUUCACAUUCUGUUACUUGAAGUGUACUUUGGGAUACCUGCUACUUCAAAUAUGGGCCUUACUUUAUGUGUGUCAUGAGUGUAUAUCAUUUCAGUUCGGAAUUUGAUUAAGGAAUAAUGGUUGGUACUGCCACCCAGUUAAAGAUCCGAGAUACCAAAUUGCUUCUGACGCGACACUACAUGUUACCUCAUGAUUCCUCAUAUUAUGAGAAAUGUUCUAAUUUCCCAUCGUAAUUGAGAAAGCUGUGAUGCUUCCUGAAUGGCAUUUUCUAAUUGGAUCUUUACUUGCUAGAGAAUUGGAUCUUUACUUGCUAAAUAAUUGGUGCUCUGCUGGAUGUCAGUUUUUACCUGUGGAUCACACAACCUUGCUUAAGGCAGGUUUCAACAGCAGCCAUAUUUCCAUGUGAUUUGUAUUGUAAGCAAAUUAUUGAUUAUACAUUUCAUGUUUGUACUGAAGAGAGAUCUAAAAUGGCUGAAGUGGCCUUACAGGAAAGGGUGUUCUGUGAUUGUACUCCAAAGAAGUUACUUUUCCAAGAUCUCUACUCUGGAUACCAGUUCGUACAGCUCCAGAAUGAAAGGCCUCUUCAGUCCAUGAGCUCUUUGCUUCUCUCCCCCACCCCCACCAGCCAACUACCUUCAGUUCACCAGAUUCUGUCUCCAUUUCUCAUGGGAUGAAACUUAGAAUCUCUUUUUCAUCCAGUAAUGUUGAGACUUCUUCGAAUUGAUAGUUUCAUACUAUAGCAUGUGAGCUGCUUCUUUGACUUUGUGUGUGUAUCCUUUCUUGGAAGCUAUAUUUAUUACUACCUGAAUGAUUGUAUAAGACUAAAAUAACUUUCAGGCCAAAUUAAAGAAAUGACCAAAUGAUGAAACAGGUAUGCUGAUAAAUAUGGAUAUAAGACUAAAUUUACAAAUUUCAGGUAAACAAAGACUGGAAUUUUACUUUAUAUUUUUAAAAGUAUAUCUUAAUAAAGCAUUUGUUGCUCUUGAAUCA
ensembl:lncRNA